GAUGAACGCUAGCUACAGGCUUAACACAUGCAAGUCGAGGGGCAGCACAGUGUAGCAAUACACGGGUGGCGACCGGCGCACGGGUGCGUAACGCGCAUCCAACCUUCCCGAUACUCUUGGAUAGCCUUCCGAAAGGGAGAUUAAUACAAGAUGGUGUUUCACUUUCGCAUGUUAUUGAAACUAAAGAUUUAUCGGUAUCGGAUGGGGAUGCGUGACAUUAGAUAGUAGGCGGGGUAACGGCCCACCUAGUCUACGAUGUCUAGGGGUUCUGAGAGGAAGGUCCCCCACACUGGAACUGAGACACGGUCCAGACUCCUACGGGAGGCAGCAGUGAGGAAUAUUGGUCAAAUGGGCGAGAGCCUGAACCAGCCAAAGUAGCGUGAAGGAAGACUGCCCUAUGGGUUGUAAAACUCUUUUGUUCGGGAAUAAAGUGCAGUACGCGUAC
rnacentral:rRNA from 1 species